UCCGGUUUGUCACUGGCAGUCUAGUUAGAGUUCCCGACAUGACUCGCUGGCAACACAGGACAAGGGUUGCGCUCGUUGCGGGACUUAACCCAACACCUCACGGAACGAGCUGACGACAGCCAUGCAGCACCUGUGCUGGCUGCCCUUGCGGGCUCAUUACCGUUUCCGGUUCUUAAUACCAGCAUGUCAAACCUGGGUAAGGUUCUUCGCGUUGCGUCGAAUUAAACCACAUGCACCACCGCUUGUGCGGGCCCCCGUCAAUUCCUUUGAGUUUCAGCCUUGCGGCCGUACUCCCCAGGCGGGGCACUUACUGCGUUAGCGACGGCACCGGGAGGGUCGCUCCCCCCGACGCCUAGUGCCCAUCGUUUACGGCGUGGACUAC
rnacentral:misc_RNA from 1 species